UAUCCACGAGCCAACGUUGUGUUUCCCUUUGUAUUCUGCUUUCAAAUAAAACAUCUAGAGACAGCACAGGCCAGUUCCCGGAGAAUGUAAAGUUGAAGACUGCUGGUCAAAUAAAAACUUCUCUGAUAUCUCAUAAAAUCUUUGUAAAUGUGACAAUCAAGCACUCAAGAAAAUUCACCUGGCAACAGCUGCAUUGAAACAAAGUUACUGCAGCAACAAGUAACGUCACAGUGUUAAUAAUUGACAUGGAAAGAAUGAAAAGGUGAGGAAGGGAUAAAGAGGACAAAGGAGAGAUUUCAGUAUAAACUUCUGCUGGCAGUUGAGAGUGUGCUGUGUGUUUCGCAGGAGCCAGCUUCCACAGAGCAGGCACCCGUACUGCUGUUCCUGCCCCUUGGGAAAGCCAUGGCAAGGAAACAAAACCUGACUUAUAUGGAGUGAUCCACCAAGAAAAACAUACAUAAUUAUGAAACAGAUGUAUCUUUAUAAACAAGAAUGGAAUACAUAUCAUCUGAUGUAGAAGGCAGAAGAAAUAUUGCAUCAAUAUAAAAAAUGCUAGAAAAAGCGAAUGAAGAUUUCUUUAAAAAAACAAGAAAGUCUGUAAAACAUGAACAAUUUAAAAAGGUAAUAAUAAAUAAAUUUGGAGCAGUAAUAUAAAAUAUGCUUCUCAUCAAAUGAAUAUCUUAAAUACUGACCCACAAAUGAUUUUCAAAUUUCAAAGCAAGCACUGAAAUAAUGUGAUGUCUUUGUUUGUCUUUAUGUCAUAAAUUAACACUGCAGAAGGUCAACACACAUCAAACACCAGGAUUUUAUGAAAAACUCUACAUAGGAAAAAACUGUAAGACAACCAUUUUUUUUCAGGAAGGGUAGCAAAGGAAGGGCUGUGCAUAGAUUUUUAUUAAUUUUUCAUUGUUUGCUUUUAAAGUAGAAUACUGGUAAACAUAUUUCCAAAUACUGGAAUGAAAUAUCACUUUGCAAAAAAAAUACUGAUUUUUGUUAUUAUUUACCAGUAUUAUUAUUUACCACUAACCAACAUUAAGCUUAUUUUAUUCUUUCUAGAAAAUAAGAUAGCAAAGAUAAAAAAAUGUAGCUUAAUAGAUUAGGAAAAAAUACAGGCACUGUCUGACAGACUACAAAAAUCUAGAAAAGUUCAAAAUGUUUUCAGCUAGGCACAAAAAUGCUGUUAAUGAUUAGCUGCAUAACAGGAGAUUUAUCUCUGUCUUUUUUUUCCUUUCU